UACGUAGGGGGCAAGCGUUGUCCGGAUUUAUUGGGCGUAAAGAGCGUGUAGGCGGUUUGGUAGGUCCGUUGUGAAAACUCGAGGCUCAACCUCGAGACGCCGAUGGAAACCAUCAGACUAGAGUCCGGAAGAGGAGAGUGGAAUUCCUGGUGUAGCGGUGAAAUGCGCAGAUAUCAGGAGGAACACCAAUGGCGAAGGCAGCUCGCUGGGACGUGAUUGACGCUGAGACGCGAAAGCGUGGGGAGCAAACAGG
rnacentral:rRNA from 1 species